GGAGAGGUGGCCGAGUGGUUGAAGGCGCAGCACUGGAAAUGCUGUAAUAAGGCAACUUAUUCGAGGGUUCGAAUCCCUCCCUCUCCG
rnacentral:tRNA from 1 species